rnacentral:rRNA from 1 species
AUUGAACGCUGGCUGCAGGCCUAACACAUGCAAGUCGAACGAGUGGCGGACGGGUGAGUAAUGUCUGGGAAACUGCCCGAUGGAGGGGGAUAACUACUGGAACCGGUAGCUAAUACCGCAUACCAUCGGAUCUGCCCAGAUGGGAUUAGCUAGUAGGGGGGGUAACGGCUCACCUAGGCGACGAUCCCUAGCUGGUCUGAGAGGAUGACCAGCCACACUGGAACUGAGACACGGCCCAGACUCCGACGGGAGGCAGCAGUGGGGAAUAUUGCACAAUGGGCGCAAGCCUGAUGCAGCCAUGCCGCGUGUAUGAAGAAGGCCUUCGGGUUGUAAAGUACUUUCAGCGAGGAGGCGUUACUCGCAGAAGAAGCAACGGCUAACUCCGUGCCAGCAGCCGCGGUAAUUC